GAGACUGAUGUGCUUGGAGGAAAGAUAGCUAAGACACCUCUUGAGGAGGGGUAUAAGGUUCUGCGUGAGGGGGAGGUUGAAGAGAAGCAGUUGUUUGAUGAUGCUAAGCUGUAUAGGAAGAUGGUUGGCAAGCUGAUCUACUUGACUAUCACCAGACCUGAUAUAUGUUUUGCUGUGAAUCAAGUAAGUCAGCAUAUGCAGGCACCAAAGGUACAUCACUGGAAGAUGGUUGAUAGGAUACUGAGGUAUUUGAGUGGCACGCCUGGUCAAGGAGUUUGGAUGGGUUGUAAUGGCAGUACAGAAGUGGUUGGGUAUUGUGAUGCUGAUUGGGCAGGAGAUAGAGUGGACAGGAGAUCAACUACUGGGUAUUGUACAUUCAUUGGAGGGAACCUGGUUACUUGGAAAAGUAAGAAGCAGAAGGUCAUCUCCUGUUCAAGUGCUGAGGCUGAGUAUAGGGCUAUGCUGAAGCUAACAAACGAAUUGGUAUGGAUCAAGGGUAUCUUGAAGCAUUUGGAGAUUGAGCAGAGUACUCCUAUGACAAUGCACUGUGACAAUCAAGCAGCUAUCCACAUUGCUUCUAACUCAGUCUUUCAUGAGAGGACAAAGCAUAUAGAAGUUGAUUGCCACAAGGUGAGGCAGAUGAUUAUACUUGGAGUGAUACUGCCAUGUUAUACAAGAAGUGAAGAUCAGCUUGCAGAUGUGUUUACUAAGGCAGCGAGAUUAAAGACAAUGGAGUCCAUACUAUCAAGGCUUGGACUCAUUGAUCUUACUCCAAGGAGCUGAGCCCCUUAACCAUGGAGUCUCCACUCUUUUUCCCUCAUCAAGGUUUUAUCCCAUUGGGUUUUCCUUGGUGAAGUUUUUAAUGAGGGAGGUCUUCAUGGUUUCCAAGCUAGACAAGUUCUCUUAGUCUAGCUUGAGGGGGAGUGUUGAGAUGAAGAUCAAGAAGUGAAGAGAUGGAGCUUUGGGGUUAAUAGAGUGUUGAGGCUGAGACAGUAACUUUAGAGUUUACCAUGGUAACUUUUAUUUUACCACAGUAACUUUGGAGUGGUAAGAUAAAAGCAUGGGAAGUUACCUUGAACCUAUUUGGAGAAGGGAUCACGUCCAAAGGGGAGCAAGGAGUGGUGUGGAUAAGGUUUGGUCAUAGCUGGAAAGGUGAAGCCACUUUACAGCCUGUCCAAGCAUGUGAAGCCUCUCAGCAGCCAGCUAGCCUUGACUUCACAUGCUUUGAGUCUCAUUUCGAAAUCCCCUUUGUAUCAGCCUUAUCUCUUCAUUUAUAACUUGUAUCUGAGACAUUUAAAAAUUAAUUAAUGGAGUUUUGAGUCUCUCUCUCUCUAGAAUCUCUCUAUUCUCUCUAAACUUUACUCUAAUCUUCUCUGAUUAUUAUUAAACACACUCUAAAACACAAAAGUGUAUAUGGUAUCAGAGCCAGGUUGCUCAAAAGGGGGUGAGUGUGUGAUUUCUUUUUCGCAAAUCUGGGUUCUUUCUUGAGUGUUCUUAGUGUUCUUGGUGUUCUUGAGUGUUCUUGGUGAGUCUGGGUUAUGCUCUUCAGUCACUAGGCUCGUUUGGAUCUUUCUGAUGGAAACAAACAACCUAGGCAUGGAGAUGAAGCAUAGUUCUAGUAUUCCAUUGAAGCUUGAAGAGGAAACUGGUGGAAGUUGGUCAAGAUGGGCGAAGGCAGUGUUGAGGAGCUGUGUGUUGUGGAGUAGUCAUAAAAAGGGGAAGCCUUUGAGAAGAAUGGCUACAGAAGCAGGUCAGGCGUGGAGUCUGAGGUAUGAAGAUAGAGUUGUUCAAGAAAACCAUACAAGAUGUGGGAUUGAAGCAGCUCAUGGGAGUAGAUCCGAUCUGAAGAAGGUUUGUGGAGUCAAGAGAGCUAACACAGACCUGAGAAGAGGAAAGGAAGAACUCCAUCAGCUUGUGGGCAAGCUGAAAUACUUGUGGAGAGAGUUGGAUUUGUUGAGAUCAAGAACAUCAGAUCCGGAGGUGAUUCAAGAAAGGCUGGAGCAAGAUGUAGUCUUGAGCCUUCUAGUGAGCUUAAACUCAUCAUAUGGUCAGCUGAUUAUGCAAGUAGCCAAAGAUGAUGAGCGAGUAGAUGUGGAUGGGUUGUGUGAGCUUGUUCAGUCUUCAUAUAAAGUAUAUGAGAAGAGCAAGAGACUGAUCAGGAUCAGAGAUGGUACAAGGUGUAAGAAGGGAAGAUUGAGGAGACUGUCCAGGACUUGGGUCAUGGUGAGAAAGACUCAGAGGAAGAGUAGACAGUGUGGAUACUUUGGGAAUGAUAUGGAGACAAGACUGAUUAAAGAGUUUGCGCAGCAUGUGGUUAGAGGAGAGUGUUCCUACUCAGCCUAUAUGGGUAGUUCAGUAGAAGAAAGUGUGGUUAUGAAGGGGCAAGGAACCAAAGGAGCAGAUGAUCCUAUCACAAAGAAAGAAUGGGAUGGGUUUGUCAAGUAUGUGUAUGCUUUGGCUACGACCCGGAGACAAGGUGCUCCUGCCUUAGCAUCCACAUCCAAACCCAUCAUCAUUGAUUCUGGAGCAACACAUCAUAUGAUCAGUGAUAGAAGUCUGAUAAGUGAAGUCAAGGUUGCAACAGGGAGUGUCAUGAUAGCUAAUGGUGCUAGGAUCCCAAUAGAAGGAGUGGGAAACCUCAAGCUGUUUGAGAAGAACUCACCUGCAUUCUACCUGCCUCAGUUCACUUCAAAUCUGAUAUCAGUGAAGAAGGCCACAGUUGAUCUUGAUUGUCAAGUAGUAUUCAGGCCAAAUGAAGUUGAGUUUCAAGAUUUGAAGACUGGGAGAGUUAUUGGUAGAGGGGACAGCAAGAAUCAGUUAUAUCAUCUCCAAACAGCUAAGACCUCUAACCCUAUUGAUUCUGUAUGCUUGAGUAGUACUGCUGAUAGGUGUGAUAGUAUUACUUGGCAUGCUAGAUUAGGACAUCCUCAUGCUCGUGCAAUUGAAUUGAUUAUGCCUAAUAUGUCAUUCAAUCACUUGGAAUGUGAAGCUUGCAUCUUAGGGAAGCAUUGUAGAACUGUUUUUCCCACAUCAGAGACCAUAUAUGCAAAUUGCUUUGAUCUUGUUCAUUCUGAUGUGUGGACAGCCCCUUGUAUGUCUAGAGAAAACCAGAAGUACUUUGUGACAUUCAUAGAUGAGAAGUCUAAGUAUACAUGGAUCACAUUGCUGCCAUCUAAGGAUAGAGUUUUUGAGGCUUUUGUCAACUUCCAAGCAUAUGUAACUAACCAUUACAAUGCUACUGUGAAGGUACUAAGGUCUGAUAAUGGAGGAGAAUACACCAGUCAUGCCUUCAAGAAUCACUUGGCUAAACAUGGGAUAGUGCAUCAGACCAGUUUUCCUUACACACCACAGCAGAAUGGGGUAGCUGAGAGGAAGAAUAGGCAUCUGAUGGAGGUGGAUAGAUCCAUGAUGUAUCAUGCUAAUGUUCCAAAGAGGUUUUGGGGUGAUGCUGUUCAGACUGCAUGCUAUCUUAUCAAUCGGAUUCCAACUAAGGUAUUGAAGAAUCUGUCUCCUUUUGAGGUGCUGAACAAGAGCAAGCCAUACAUAGAUCAUCUGCGUGUCUUUGGAUGCCUAUGUUAUGUCUGGAUUCCAGGAGAACAGAGAAACAAGUUGGAGGCAAAGAGCACUAAAGCAAUGCUCAUUGGGUACUCAGUAACUCAGAAGGGGUACAAGUGCUAUGAUCCAGCAACUAGGAGAGUGUUGGUAUCUAGAGAUGUUAAGUUUAUAGAGGCAAAGGGUUAUUAUGAAGAAAAGAAUUGGGAAGACUUGGAAGAUCUGUCUCAAGAACCAAGAAACAUGGCAGAGAAUCUGAGGAACAUCUUGGAAAGGCUUGGGGUAAACAUGUCCCAAGAGAAGGUUAGAGAAGCUGAAAGAACUACCCCACUUGAUCAUGACGGGGGAAAUGAGUCUGAAUCAGGAGUGCAAGAGCAGCACCAAGGGAAUUCAGGUCAUCAUGAUCAAGAGGUGACACAAGAAGUAGAGAAUUUUCCUCAGGUGGAUGAGCAGGGAGAGGUUCAUGAUCAAGAGGAGGUGAGUGAGACAGAAACAGAGGUUCAAGCUGAGGAUCAGGUUCAGGCUUUGCGGAGGAGCACAAGGAUAAAGAGGGAUGCUUCCAACUGGGUAAACACGAGAGUGUACUACAAUGCCCAGGCUGUGGAGCAUCCUUCUCAAGCCGUGUGUUCCUUUGCAGAAUAUCCAGAAGAGCACAUGGUGUUUAUGUGUAACUUGGAUGAGAAUGAGAUACCAAGAUCUUAUGAAGAAGCUAUGAAGCACAAGGUUUGGAGAGAUUCAGUAGGAGAUGAAAGGGAUGCAAUGAUCAGGAAUGACACUUGGUAUGAGAGUGAGUUACCUAAAGGGAAGAAGGCAGUUUCAAGCAGAUGGAUCUUCACCAUCAAGUAUCUUGCAAAUGGGAAGAUAGAUAGGUGCAAGACCAGGCUGGUUGCAAGAGGAUUUACACAGACUUAUGGGGAGGAUUACAUUGAUACUUUUGCACCAGUAGCCAAGCUUCACACAAUUCGAAUUGUGUUAUCCAUUGCAACAAACUUGGAGUGGGAUUUGUGGCAAAUGGAUGUGAAGAAUGCUUUCUUGCAAGGUGAACUUGAAGAUGAAGUAUACAUGCAUCCGCCUCCUGGUCUUGAGCAUCUAGUAAAGCCAGGGAAUGUUUUGAGAUUGAAGAAGGCAAUAUAUGGGCUGAAACAGUCACCUAGAGCUUGGUACAGGAAGUUGAGUACAACACUCAAUGGGAGAGGCUUUAGGAAGUCUGAACUAGAUCACACUCUCUUCACCUUGACAGGACCUUCAGGGAUCAUUGUGAUUCUAGUGUAUGUGGAUGAUUUGAUUAUCACAGGAAGUGAUAAGGCAGGGAUUCAUGCCACUAAGGAGUUUCUCAAAUCUGUGUUUGACAUCAAGGAUUUGGGAGAGAUGAAGUAUUUUCUGGGCAUUGAGAUAUGUAGAUCAAAGGAGGGUUUGUUUAUGUCUCAAAGGAAGUAUACUAUGGAUAUGUUGAAGGAGACUGAUGUGCUUGGAGGAAAGAUAGCUAAGACACCUCUUGAGGAGGGGUAUAAGGUUCUGCGUGAGGGGGAGGUUGAAGAGAAGCAGUUGUUUGAUGAUGCUAAGCUGUAUAGGAAGAUGGUUGGCAAGCUGAUCUACUUGACUAUCACCAGACCUGAUAUAUGUUUUGCUGUGAAUCAAGUAAGUCAGCAUAUGCAGGCACCAAAGGUACAUCACUGGAAGAUGGUUGAUAGGAUACUGAGGUAUUUGAGUGGCACGCCUGGUCAAGGAGUUUGGAUGGGUUGUAAUGGCAGUACAGAAGUGGUUGGGUAUUGUGAUGCUGAUUGGGCAGGAGAUAGAGUGGACAGGAGAUCAACUACUGGGUAUUGUACAUUCAUUGGAGGGAACCUGGUUACUUGGAAAAGUAAGAAGCAGAAGGUCAUCUCCUGUUCAAGUGCUGAGGCUGAGUAUAGGGCUAUGCUGAAGCUAACAAACGAAUUGGUAUGGAUCAAGGGUAUCUUGAAGCAUUUGGAGAUUGAGCAGAGUACUCCUAUGACAAUGCACUGUGACAAUCAAGCAGCUAUCCACAUUGCUUCUAACUCAGUCUUUCAUGAGAGGACAAAGCAUAUAGAAGUUGAUUGCCACAAGGUGAGGCAGAUGAUUAUACUUGGAGUGAUACUGCCAUGUUAUACAAGAAGUGAAGAUCAGCUUGCAGAUGUGUUUACUA
rnacentral:lncRNA from 1 species